rnacentral:lncRNA from 1 species
GGGAGUAGGAAGCGCGUCAUCCGGGCCAUAAAUUUGCGGUGAUGGCGCCUCCGGCCGCCUCCCCAGACGGAGGGACAGGGCCGACUCCGGAGCAGGUGGGGCCGCCAAGACCCGACCCCCGCGGUAGGCGCUGCGCGGCUUCUCCCGACGCGGGUCCGGGGCGCGCUCGGCCGCCCCUCCCGCCGCAUCCGCCCGCGCCCGGCCCCGCCGCGGGAUUUCCAAAGGGCUUUUGUUCCGGGCUUGGAUGUAGAGGCUUUGAUUUUUUUUUACCACCCGCCUCAGGAGACUUUUUGCUUGGAAAAGUCCUGCUAUUAAAACAAAAACAAAAACCAACCAAUUCCGGAGGGAAGAAAA